rnacentral:rRNA from 1 species
UACGAAGGGGGCUAGCGUUGCUCGGAAUCACUGGGCGUAAAGGGUGCGUAGGCGGGUCUUUAAGUCAGGGGGGAAAUCCUGGAGCUCAACUCCAGAACUGCCUUUGAUACUGAAGAUCUUGAGUUCGGGAGAGGUGAGUGGAACUGCGAGUGUAGAGGUGAAAUUCGUAGAUAUUCGCAAGAACACCAGUGGCGAAGGCGGCUCACUGGCCCGAUACUGACGCUGAGGGACGAAAGCGUGGGGAGCAAACAGG